CAAACGCUGCAGCGAGGGAGUUACCAUGGAAACAGGGCAGCAGCUCUCCAACUGACAGCUGCAACACUGCGUCUCUCGCUGCUGUUUUCACCAUUUUCAGGAGUAACAUUUCUACAACAGAAGAGAAGCUCCAAGAUAUCUAAAUUUCUGAAGGAAGCUGCUGACAGAGAUGUGGGAAACAUAGGAUUCCCAUCCCAGUGUUACUACGGCUUGGAUCCAGCCUCACUUGUGGUUACUUCAGAUGAAGACCCCAGAUGAUGGCAACUAUAGAUGAACAUACCAACCUGACAAAUGUUAUGUAUUGUCAUCAUUGCCUUAAAGCAUACGUUGAGUGAUUUUCAACCCACUUUGUAUCGUUACUAUGAUGGUAAUAUAUGUGAACGAACAAUGUUUAAUCUUUCUCUGAGUUCCAUGAGAUACACCCAUUUAUUUGUCAGCCAAAUAAUAUUUUGCAUUAUCCGAAUAAUGUUUAUUUACAUAUUACAGACUUUGUGACAGUAUAAAGUGGAUUUAAAUUCCCCGAACCUACCCUUUAAUGGUUGUCCCUUUAACUGAACAUGUGCUUUGAACACAUAACUUGUAUUAUCUUAGAGUUAUUGACAGACAUUAAUUUGUUGCCAGAAGAUGCUCCCCAUUGAGUCACAGUCACCUCAGGCUGUUGAUAGGAUUUUUUUUUUUUGAAACCUUGAAAUUUUCUAAAGCUGCUUUGAUUGUGAAAAGCAUUGUACCCUUACAACAGUUAACCAUGUUUUUACUAUGGUAAAACUAGUAAUCAUAACUGUAGUAAUCAGGGUUUUUUAGUUUUUCUCAAACUAAGGUUUUGAUAUCAUGGUUCUACAAUAGUAAUAUUUUAGUAAUGCUUGAGUAAAACUGUGGUAUCCAUAGUUUUUGAAACCAUGGUGAAGUUUGUAGUUACUAUAGGUUUACUACUAUGCUGUAGUAAGACCAUGGUUAUGGUAGUUAGUUACUGUGAAUUUACUACAACAAUCAUAGUUAAACCAUGGUUAAUUUUGUGGUUGACUUUUGUAUGGACAUAUGUGAACUGAAUGCUUCUAUUUGAAAGUCACCUUGGAUAAAACCGUCUGAUACAUAUACUGUAAAUGCAUUUGUAUGUUUAAUCUGUUUACUGAAAAUAAACUCCCGGGUCACUUCGUGCGGCUGCACUGUCUGUAGUUGUGCCACUGACCCGUGAUAUAGGA